UACGUAGGGGGCUAGCGUUGCUCGGAAUCACUGGGCGUAAAGCGCACGUAGGCGGGUUGUUAAGUCAGGGGUGAAAUCCUGGAGCUCAACUCCAGAACUGCCUUUGAUACUGGCAACCUAGAGACUGGAAGAGGUUAGUGGAAUUCCCAGUGUAGAGGUGAAAUUCGUAGAUAUUGGGAAGAACACCAGUGGCGAAGGCGGCUAACUGGUCCAGCACUGACGCUGAGGUGCGAAAGCGUGGGGAGCAAACAGG
rnacentral:rRNA from 1 species